UCUGUGGUACCGGACUUGCCAAAGGUUUCCAAAAAGCAUACUUUGACAGGUAUGGAGGUGGUGCCAACUUUGUACAUGAUGGCUACAACAAAGGCACAGCUUUAGGUGCUGAAAUCAUUGGUACCUUUGUUCUUGUCUACACUGUCUUCUCUGCCACUGAUCCUAAGAGGAACGCUAGGGACUCCCAUGUUCCUGUAAGCAUUUAAUUAUAAACUCAAUUCACACACACUCAUCACCUUUUUCUUCAUAAUAAGUACUUUAAGCAUAACUAACUAUGUGUUUGGUGAAAUGAUGAAAAGGUUUUGGCACCACUUCCCAUUGGAUUUGCUGUUUUCAUGGUUCACUUGGCUACUAUCCCCGUUACCGGCACCGGUAUUAACCCGGCAAGAAGUUUCGGAUCAGCCGUGAUCUACAACGACGGCAAAAUUUGGGAUGAUCAGGUAAACAUCCAUAUCAUUAAAUUAUUAAAGUGACACUGAUAACUAUUUUACAACCGUUUAUUUGAGGAGACUUUGAUUAGGUUUAAGUCUCUCCUUAUAUUAGCCAGACAAACUUUAUAUUUUUCAGUUUUUAGUUUUUUGUCCAUUAAUUAAACUUUUGUUUAGUGCUAAAACAAUUGUUUUCUUUAAUUUUACAAUAGUCUUGAAUUUAUUUUUAAAUAUGUUGAUAAUAAUAUUCUAAUAGAUAAUUAACUUUUGUUGAAUUGUUUUUGUGAUGAACAGUGGA
rnacentral:lncRNA from 1 species